rnacentral:ribozyme from 13 species
GAAAGAAAAGAAGAAGCAUUCCCAGGAGAAACAAAAAUAGAAGAAAUGCGAGAAGACAAGGCCAACUUGUGAACAAUGGCAUGUUCUCUUCCUCCAGACCCCAACACCAACACUUUCAAUCCCUUUUGUUUCAUUUCUUUUUCUUUUUUCAAAUG